UAGGGAAUCUUCCACAAUGGACGCAAGUCUGAUGGAGCAACGCCGCGUGAGUGAAGAAGGUUUUCGGACCGUAAAGCUCUGUUGUUGGUGAAGAAGGAUAGAGGUAGUAACUGGCCUUUAUUUGACGGUAAUCAACCAGAAAGUCACGGCUAACUACGUGCCAGCAGCCGCGGUAAUACGUAGGUGGCAAGCGUUGUCCGGAUUUAUUGGGCGUAAAGCGAGCGCAGGCGGAAGAAUAAGUCUGAUGUGAAAGCCCUCGGCUUAACCGAGGAAUUGCAUCGGAAACUGUUUUCUUGAGUGCAGAAGAGGAGAGUAGAACUCCAUGUGUAGCGGUGGAAUGCGUAGAUAUAUGGAAGAAUACCAGUGGCGAAGGCGGCUCUCUGGUCUGCAACUGACGCUGAGGCUCGAAAGCAUGGGUAGCGAACAGGAUUAGAUACCCUUGGUAGUCCAUGCCGUAAACGAUGAGUGCUAAGUGUUGGGAGGCUUCCGCCUCUCAGUGCUGCAGCUAACGCAUUAAGCACUCCGCCUGGGGGAGUACGACCGCAAGGUUGAAACUCUAAAGUGAAUUGACGGGGGUCAUAGCUAUUUUUCCU
rnacentral:rRNA from 1 species